rnacentral:lncRNA from 1 species
UGCCAAUUGUGUUGUAGAAGUUGGAUGGAACUGAUACUCUGUAGUAGUUGAAUGAGGUUAGUGGGUCAGAUUCUGUGGGAUUGUGGUUGGUUAGUGGUGGAGUUAGGAUAGUUUUUUAUUUUAUUUUUUUCUCCUUUUCCAAAAUUUCCUUCCAGUUUUACGUUCCUCUCUCAAGUCCCACGUACAUUUCUUUCUCCUCUUCUUUUUGUCUCUUCUUUUGCUUAUUUUUCCUUUCUUUCUUUUUUGGUUUGGGUUUAUUGACCUUGCGUUCUUCAAACGGAUUUUUGGGGGGUGAUUGGUCUGCAGUUGGGGUAAUUCAAGAAUUAUAGGAAACACUUAAUCCUUCUACGAGUUCGAUUUUAGGAAGCGUUGAUUCGUCUAAGGUUCUGGUUAUCUCGC